rnacentral:rRNA from 1 species
UAGGGAAUCUUCGGCAAUGGACGAAAGUCUGACCGAGCAACGCCGCGUGAGUGAAGAAGGUUUUCGGAUCGUAAAACUCUGUUGUUAGAGAAGAACAAGGACGUUAGUAACUGAACGUCCCCUGACGGUAUCUAACCAGAAAGCCACGGCUAACUACGUGCCAGCAGCCGCGGUAAUACGUAGGUGGCAAGCGUUGUCCGGAUUUAUUGGGCGUAAAGCGAGCGCAGGCGGUUUCUUAAGUCUGAUGUGAAGGCCUCCGGCUCAACCGGGGAGGGUCAUUGGAAACUGGGAGACUUGAGUGCAGAAGAGGAGAGUGGAAUUCCAUGUGUAGCGGUGAAAUGCGUAGAUAUAUGGAGGAACACCAGUGGCGAAGGCGGCUCUCUGGUCUGUAACUGACGCUGAGGCUCGAAAGCGUGGGGAGCAAACAGG